GGAUCAAUGAUGAGUCCCCUCAAAAGCAUGCCUUGGAAAGCUGAACAAAAUGAGUGAGAACUCACCACUGUCAACCUCAUCUGAAGCUGAGGUCU
rfam:Erinaceus europaeus unplaced genomic scaffold scaffold00697, whole genome shotgun sequence